rnacentral:rRNA from 1 species
CCCUUAGAUGUCCUGGGCCGCACGCGCGUUACACUGAUGCAUUCAACGAGCUUAUAACCUUGGCCGAGAGGCCUGGGCAAUCUUGUUAACGUGCAUCGUGAUAGGGAUAGAUUAUUGAAAUUAUUAAUCUUGAACGAGGAAUUCCUAGUAAACGCAGAUCAUCAAUCUGCAUUGAUUACGUCCCUGCCCUUUGUACACACCGCCCGUCGCACCUACCGAUUGGAUGGUCCGGUGAAGCCUCGGGAUUGUGGUUCUUGCCGCUUUAUUGUGGCGUGACCGCGAGAACUUGUCUAAACCAUAUCAUCUAGAGGAAGGUGAAGUCGUAACA